rnacentral:lncRNA from 1 species
GAGAGAGAGAGAGAGAGAGAGAGAGAGAGAGAGAGAGAGAGAGAGAGAGAGAGAGAGAGAGAGAGAGAGAGAGAGAGAGAGAGAGAGAGAGAGAGAGAGAGAGAGAGAGAGAGAGAGAGAGAGAACGAGUGUGUAUGAGGAGAAAGGGGCAGAGAGAAAGGAGCAAGAGGACCCAAAGCAGGCUCCACGCAGAAAGCAGCCAACCCACACUUUUUGUUACCUCUCAACUUGCAAAAAUACCCAUUUCGGGGAGCAGUGGGGUGGGAGAACCAGAAGGCAUUACCACGAAUCUUAGUGUUUUCAUUACACAAAGUAUAAGGAUGUGAAAGAAAACACAUCAGCAACAUCUAAGGGACAGAAUUUUCCCAGCAUGGUUCCAGGGGCAAAAGGUCUACUUUCAGUAUCAAAUUGCAUACAGCAUACAGCAAGGUGGCAACUAUCCAAGUUAGGUGCACUGCCAGUGUCUUUAAACACAGGACACCAUUCACUCCGUGUCCCCAUGGAUUUGGCUGGGACCUAUUGCUCUCAAACCUUGUUUGAUCCGUGAGGAGGAGUAAGGCCAUUUUAACACAUUCGAGGGGGUGGCUCCCUACCUGGGAACUGAAUUGAAGGGAUUCAGACUUGGUUUUGCAUUUGGUGAACUUGAGGCCCGGAAUUGAAGGUGUUCUUGAAACACGGUGUUCCUUUUGCCUCUCCCGCCAGCUGCUGCUGGAACAUUUGGAGUUCCUCGUCUCCAGGCACGAGAGAGCUCUUCAAAAAACCAUCAUCGGGCGACAGGCGAAGACUCCGGCCGGCGUGUCCAGUGAGGCAGAGGUGCUCAAGGUCCUCAACUCCAUAUUGGAGAAGGACAAAACGGAGGAUGAAACGAUGUGCCUAACCACGGCGGUUCUCGACUUGUGCACAUGCUACUGCCUCAACAUCCUGCUCUUGGAGACUUUCAGGGAUCCUGCAUGCCCAGUCGUUGCGCCAGCAGGUGAUCGUCAAAGAAACGACUCAAAAAGAACUAAACAGAAUCAGAACCCAGUCCUACACACUUGGGCAGCAGCUCGUGUGGAGACUCUGCCCUCCAGAUCACCACUGCUUUUACCCACGGACAGGAAAAGCUGCAAAGCUGGUUUUCCAUAGUCAUAGGACACGAAGCUUCCCUGGGGAAUUGUGCCGGUCACUUCCUUCACAGAUUUAUUUCAUUAUCAUCUGGGACAGAGAGUUGGGACCCAACUGUAUCCCUUCUGAUUCCCUUGAUCUCCUUCUAAACAGGUUUUCCAGUGAGGGACUGAGUUUCCUAGCCUGGAACUAUGUCUCUCUGAUUUUAAUUGUGGAGUCCUGCUACAUUGCCCUAGAUCCAGGGGAACAUGGACAGUGGGUUCUCCAUGGGCUCACCUGUGACACCUCUCUUGGCAAGAGAAGGCAAAAAGUCUUCUGGGAUGGGGCAAGUGUUAUUGGGAGGGAGCUAUCUUCACUUGUGUGCAUGGGGUGUUGGAGAUCAGAGGUCAGAGUCAGGAACCGUGUAACUGUUACUCAGAGAGUGCCCAGCAUUCACAAGCAGCUAACACAUGGUGAUUCCCAAGGACACAUUGCCCUCCCUUACUGAGACCUGUGUGCUUGUUAGCCUGAGGGCUGUUGGUGACCCUGUUCCACAGGCCGCUGUGAGGU